rnacentral:lncRNA from 1 species
AAAAAAGGAGAGAGUAAAGGGAAUAAAGAUAUUUUGGUCAGUUUUCUAAAAAUUUGGUCGAAAUCUGCAAAAUCUAAAAAGACGUCCUACUUUUGCAAAAGCUCAAAACUAAUAAAUUUUUUAUACAAAUUGGCCUAAAUUUUAUUAGGAUAAUUGCCUAUAUGCCUCUCAAAACUUUGAAAAUAUCUCAUUUAUCUCUACUUUUUCUUUUCUUUCUAAUAUACCCCUCACAUGUUUCUCCGUUAUUCCAAAAUACCCUUACACUUUCCACCUGUUCUGUUAACUUGGGUUAAACAUGAGUUAAAUAUGUAAUAGAGUUAAAAAAAAAAACCAAAAUGUCCCUUUUAUCCUUAAGUUAAGGACAAAUAAGAAAUGUUAGUGAUGAUAAAAGAGCAUAUUUGAAAAGACUGAAAAAUCAAAUACUUUUUGUGCCACUAACUUAAAGGCAAGUAAGAAAAAUCGGUGAUUGUGGAAGAUUAUAUUUUAAAUAGCAAAAUAGUAAUUUCAUAGAAAUAACAAUUAUUGCUAACCGUUCUUUAGCAGAUUUUAACUCUAGAGGUAUAUUUAAAAUAGGCUGGAAUAUAAAAAAAAUAUUUUCAAUAUUAGCCUUAUAAGAAAGAUAAAUCAGAAAGUUAGAAAUAUUUCAGGGGUAUAAAAA